AUACGAAUGGGGCAAGCGUUGUUCGGAAUAACUGGGCUUAAAGCGUGCGCAGGCGGAUAUGAAAGUCAGAAGUGAAAUCCCAAGGCUCAACCUUGGAACUGCUUUUGAAACUUCAUAUCUAGAAUCCGGUAGAGGUUAAGAGAAUUCCUAGUGUAGAGGUGAAAUUCGCAGAUAUUAGGAGGAAUACCAGUGGCGUAGGCGCUUAACUGGACCGGUCUUGACGCUCAUGUACGAAAGCGUGGGGAGCAAACAGGAUUAGAUACCCUAGUAGUCC
rnacentral:rRNA from 1 species